UACGUAGGGGGCAAGCGUUGUCCGGAUUUAUUGGGCGUAAAGAGCGUGUAGGCGGCCAGACAGGUCAGCUGUGAAAACUCGAGGCUCAACCUCGAGACGUCGGUUGAAACCGUCUGGCUAGAGUCCGGAAGAGGAGAGUGGAAUUCCCGGUGUAGCGGUGAAAUGCGCAGAUAUCAGGAGGAACACCGGUGGCGAAGGCGGAUCUCUGGGCCAUUACUGACGCUGAGGAGCGAAAGCGUGGGGAGCGAACAGG
rnacentral:rRNA from 1 species